rnacentral:rRNA from 1 species
GUGUCAGCAGCCGCGGUAAUACGUAGGUGGCAAGCGUUGUCCGGAUUUAUUGGGCGUAAAGGGAGCGCAGGCGGUUAAAUAAGUCUGGGAUGUGAAAGCCCUCAGCUCAACUGAGGAAUUGCAACGGAAACUGUUUAACUUGAGUGCAGAAGAGGAGAGUGGAACUCCAUGUGUAGCGGUGAAAUGCGUAGAUAUAUGGAAGAACACCAGUGGCGAAGGCGGCUCUCUGGUCUGUCACUGACGCUGAGGCUCGAAAGCAUGGGUAGCGAACAGGAUUAGAUACCCUGGUAGUCCAUGCCGUAAACGAUGAGUGCUAAGUGUUGGGAGGUUUCCGCCUUUCAGUGCUGCAGCAAACGCAUUAAGCACUCCGCCUGGGGAGUACGACCGCAAGGUUGAAACUUAAAUAAAUUGACGG